AGUGGCGAACUGGUGAGUAACACGUGGGUAACCUGCCCUCAAGCAGGGGAUAACACUUGGAAACAGGUGCUAAUACCGUAUAACAAUGAAAACCGCAUGGUUUUCAUUUGAAAGAUGGUUUCGGCUAUCACUUGAGGAUGGACCCGCGGCGUAUUAGCUAGUUGGUGAGGUAACGGCUCACCAAGGCAAUGAUACGUAGCCGACCUGAGAGGGUAAUCGGCCACAUUGGGACUGAGACACGGCCCAAACUCCUACGGGAGGCAGCAGUAGGGAAUCUUCCACAAUGGACGAAAGUCUGAUGGAGCAACGCCGCGUGAGUGAAGAAGGGUUUCGGCUCGUAAAACUCUGUUGUUAAAGAAGAACAGGUGUAAGAGUAACUGUUUACACCGUGACGGUAUUUAACCAGAAAGCCACGGCUAACUACGUGCCAGCAGCCGCGGUAAUACGUAGGUGGCAAGCGUUGUCCGGAUUUAUUGGGCGUAAAGCGAGCGCAGGCGGUCUUUUAAGUCUGAUGUGAAAGCCUUCGGCUUAACCGGAGAAGUGCAUCGGAAACUGGGAGACUUGAGUGCAGAAGAGGACAGUGGAACUCCAUGUGUAGCGGUGAAAUGCGUAGAUAUAUGGAAGAACACCAGUGGCGAAGGCGGCUGUCUGGUCUGUAACUGACGCUGAGGCUCGAAAGCAUGGGUAGCGAACAGGAUUAGAUACCCUGGUAGUCCAUGCCGUAAACGAUGAGUGCUAAGUGUUGGAGGGGUUUCCGCCCU
rnacentral:rRNA from 1 species